CUACAUUAAAAGGGUUAAGUCCAUAUAAAUACCAUUUGGGCUCAACUCCCAUCAAUUCAUUAAUAAGGCCCAAUAAUUAUAUAAUUCAUUAGCCCAUCAUCCAAAUCACAUUUAAUCUCAGCCACUAAACUUAAAUUCAUCUCAGCCGUUGUUUGUCUUGAAAGAUAAGAAUAAACCUAGUCAUAUAUGUCUGCAGCCGCACGACUUCUUUUCAGACUUCAACUGCGCUACAUGAUCUCGCCGGCAGCCAUCCUCAUGCGACAAGACUCUCUCCCAAAUAGAUCUUGAGUUGGAGAUGGAGAUCGGCUGAACUUCUAUCCUGUUGGAGAUGAUUGGAUUUCAAGGAAGAAAUCAUGGUGAUUUCUUGAAUCGGUAGUUGCUGUUGUGUUAUGUAAAUGAGCCCGAGCUGAGCCUGAGCUUGUCAAAUUUCUGCCGAGCCCGAGCCCGAGCCCGAGCCCGAGCCCGAGGUUGGAUAGGCAAAGCUCGCCCGGGCCCGAGCCGGUUCCGAGCAAGCCAAAGCUCAGCUCGGCUUGGCUCAGUUCAUUUGUAGCCCAAAGCCCUGGACUCAAGUGGUAUGCUUCAACCUACAAUAAAGGAGACUCUUUUAUUAGGCAGCCAUAAAGCCCCAAGGAGGCAUUUCUAGUAGACUCAAAGCUCCAAAAGCUUGCAUUUCUUUUCAAAUCUGAUAAGUAAUAUGAUCUCUUAAUUGGUAUUUGGCAGAACUUAAGAGCUUAUUGGUCACCACUUGCAUUAAAAACAUCUAGUGCUUGACUAUGAAUAUUGAUAAAAUAUACCUUCAAAUUUUACGAG